GUCGAUUGGCCCGAAUCUUGUGAGCGAACAUAGGUUACAUGUAUUGAUCCCUUCCGCCUCGAAUUCUCCGUCCCCGGGGCUAUAUAAAGCAAGUUUCUCGCUCCAUCUCCUCUACUCUUCCCUAGCGGACCUCCUCUGCUCUUAGCUUCACAUGGAAAACUCGCCAUGGAUCCCCUCACUCGCAGGUUGACGGUGAGGAGUGAAGUGAAGCCUUCUCUAAUUUAGCAGCGAAGGUUGGUAACUUACUCUUUUUACAUAUCUAGAUUUUGUUUGAUGUAGUUAUGGAAAAUAUUUGCGGAUACGGCACAAAAGACGUGAUUUAUUCUUCUAUAUAUAAAACCCUUACUAUGUCCGGUGAUUCAUCGGCAACCGGGAGGGGGGGG
rnacentral:lncRNA from 1 species